AUUGAACGCUGGCGGCAUGCCUUACACAUGCAAGUCGAACGGCAGCACGGGUGCUUGCACCUGGUGGCGAGUGGCGAACGGGUGAGUAAUACAUCGGAACAUGUCCUGUAGUGGGGGAUAGCCCGGCGAAAGCCGGAUUAAUACCGCAUACGAUCUACGGAUGAAAGGGGGGGACGUUGGGGGUUCGCGCUAUAGGGUUGGCCGAUGGCUGAUUAGCUAGUUGGUGGGGUAAAGGCAUACCAAGGCGAAGUUCAGUAGAUGGUCUGAGAGGACGACAGCCACACUGGGACUGAGACACGGCCCAGACUCCUACGGGAGGCAGCAGUGGGGAAUUUUGGACAAUGGGCGAAAGCCUGAUCCAGCAAUGCCGCGUGUGUGAAGAAGGCCUUCGGGUUGUAAAGCACUUUUGUCCGGAAAGAAAUCCUUGGCUCUAAUACAGUCGGGGGAUGACGGUACCGGAAGAAUAAGCACCGGCUAACUACGUG
rnacentral:rRNA from 1 species